AAGCGAUACAGAGGAAGCAGGAAGAAAAAGAGACCGACACAUGGUGGACUUUUCCGACGCAUGGUGGACUUUUCCCGGAGUACCGAUGUGGUGAUGCUUGACUGACAAAGACUGGGGGAAACGGUGUUUUAUGUCCUGCCGCGAUGUGUAUAUGUGAACUAGCUCAGCUAGCUCAAAGAUUUCUAUGUGCUGCCUUUCUGAUAUGUUUGCUGCCAUCAUGUCAGUGAAACAGGAUCACAGCUGAAGAAGAGGCUACAAGAGGUUUCCCGACUCAUUUCACGCACACACAUCAACCACAGCAUUAAAACCACCUGCUUAACUUUGUGUAGAUCCACCUGGUGCCAUCAAAACAGCUCUGGAGUGUCGGUGCGUGAACAUGGGACCUCUGUGGGCAUCCUGUGGUGUCUGAUGAUGAGAUAACAGGCUUGUUCUGGUGCAUUCUGUGGAUGCUCAAUCAGAUCUAAGUCGAAGGAGUUUGAAGGGAAGGCUCAUGUCUUUGUCAUGUUCUUCAAUCUAUUCAUCUUUAGGAAGAUGGUACAAGCAAGAGUACAGCUGCAUGCCUGUCCAGCACAUUCAUCCUCCCCACCUCAAUGUUCUUGCCUUGAGUACAAUCUCCAGAGCUGAAUUUGGAUUGGACCAGGCCAAACUACCGCCUCCAAUCACGGUGUCAGGUUUCCCAGAGACUAUGGGUUGAGGAGGAAUUGGAAGUUUGUCGGCUUAGACCUGGUGUCAUUCCAUCAGUGUUAAACUUCCCAGCUCAUCUUGGAAGAGUACGUGCCAGAAAGACCACGACCAAGCAGCCUUGAGAUCUUAGGCAGCGUCUCCCUGAGACCAAAGAACUACAGACUCUUCACAACCUGCUCAAACUCUUGGUACAGGACCUCACCACACGGGUCAAGAAGGUUUCCUUCUCAUUUCUACUCUGAAGCUCACCUUCUCCUGCUCAAACUGCUGACAAAUGUUUCUGCUGCUCUAAAGUCUGGUCUCCAGAACUUCCUAAAAACUCUCAAAGUCUCUUCUGCUGCAGGUUGCUUUGUAGAACUGUUCCAGAAAACCUCACUAAACCACAUGGAGGGGCCUCAAGAUAGUCGUCCAAAUGAAACCAUACAAAAACCAAACUAGCACAACCCAAACACUAAAGUCUCCUGCAGCCUACCAGAGAACCUCUGAGAACAGAGAAUCAGGACAGGAACUCUUACCUUCUGGACAACCAACGUUGGUUCUCAAACAAGAAUACAGAAUGUGUCUGACCAAAAACCUCUAAAGACUCACUACAGCCAAGAUAAAGACACAACUCAGCUGCACCAAAUCCACUAAUCACUGCACACAUUAGCACCAUGUGCUAACUGUGGCUAAAGAACCACAUUUACCAAGACAACUAUCCAGUACAAAGCCCUAAAACACACCAAGAAACACAUUAAAGACGAUUUUACUGCUGGAAGCUGCAAGCCAACGCCUAAAGAACAACUAAAGCAACGGAGCCAAACCCGGUUCAGUGGUGAAGAGAAGCAGAGGAAAUGUUUGUCUGCAGCUAAAUAAAGCAGGAAGACACUGAGCUGCUCAGGUGUUCCUGAUAACACCAAGCUGCUCAGGUGUUCCUGAUAACACCAAGCAGCCACCUGGACAGCCAAUAGGAACACAGCUUACUGGAAGUCCAGAGGGCUGGGUUAGUGAAGGAAAUUUAGUUUAAAGUUGAAGCAGAAAGUUAACAAAGAAAGUUGAAAACCACCUUCUGAUACCUGAAAUCUCUGAGUUUUCACACAAAGAACACCUGAACAUGUCAAACUGGUUCCAUAGUAGAACCAUCAUUGUAAAAACGUCAUAGUAUGGUGUGUUGCUCAAAAAACAUUAGGACCCGGCUGUCAGGGGACAAACAUGUAAGAAACAUGAGAACAGAGAGAACCCAACCAGUAGGUCACAGUUUAUCAUCCCCCAGUCAUCUCCUGAAGUCCAUAUGGUGAGAGACAUCAGUAUCUGGUUGUUAAUUUACCAGAGGAUGCUUAUAAUCAUGCUGAUGUGGUCUGUACUCUACAGUAUUUUAGUGACUCAAUAAAUGCCUAAGUUGUUUUUUUUAAAUGCUUUUUAGUUUUUAAUAAACAUUUAACAGCCUAUAUGUAAUCAAUAAAUGGCCUUUGCCUAUCUUAAGAAAAAUUCACUCAGAACUCUGAUAUGUUAACAGUACUAAAUAAAUCAAUAAAUACAUGCAUACACACAAAAAUAAGUUAAUACAUUAACUGUGUUAAGAUAAGAUUUAGAUUUUUAAAAAAGUUGUUUAUGUUUUUGCAGAAUCCAGUAUUGCUCACUGGUUGGUCAUUACAUUUUAUUAGUUUGAUUUCACUGUUUAAAAUGAUGCCACCUCUUUUCAGACAGAACCUGUGAUAAUAAAACAAUACAAAAUUUUUAGUUCCGUGUUAAUAAAGCACUUAAAGCUUUAA